rnacentral:piRNA from 1 species
UAGAAGGUCAUGAGGCACCAAAGAAGGUCAC